rnacentral:rRNA from 1 species
GAUGAACGCUGGCGGCGUGCCUAAUACAUGCAAGUAGAACGCUGAAGCUUGGUGCUUGCACCGAGCGGAUGAGUUGCGAACGGGUGAGUAACGCGUAGGUAACCUGCCUCUUAGCGGGGGAUAACUAUUGGAAACGAUAGCUAAUACCGCAUAAAAGUCGAUAUCGCAUGAUAUUGAUUUGAAAGGUGCAAUUGCAUCACUAAGAGAUGGACCUGCGUUGUAUUAGCUAGUUGGUGAGGUAACGGCUCACCAAGGCGACGAUACAUAGCCGACCUGAGAGGGUGAUCGGCCACACUGGGACUGAGACACGGCCCAGACUCCUACGGGAGGCAGCAGUAGGGAAUCUUCGGCAAUGGGGGCAACCCUGACCGAGCAACGCCGCGUGAGUGAAGAAGGUUUUCGGAUCGUAAAGCUCUGUUGUAAGAGAAGAACGAGUGUGAGAGUGGAAAGUUCACACUGUGACGGUAACUUACCAGAAAGGGACGGCUAACUACGUGCCAGCAGCCGCGGUAAUACGUAGGUCCCGAGCGUUAUCCGGAUUUAUUGGGCGUAAAGCGAGCCGCAGGCGGUUAGAUAAGUCUGAAGUUAAAGGCUGUGGC